rnacentral:piRNA from 1 species
UGGGCUAUGGAAGGAAAAGAUAGAGCUGA